rnacentral:rRNA from 1 species
UACGUAGGGCGCAAGCGUUAUCCGGAAUUAUUGGGCGUAAAGAGCUCGUAGGCGGUUUGUCGCGUCUGCCGUGAAAGUCCGGGGCUCAACUCCGGAUCUGCGGUGGGUACGGGCAGACUAGAGUGAUGUAGGGGAGACUGGAAUUCCUGGUGUAGCGGUGAAAUGCGCAGAUAUCAGGAGGAACACCAGUGGCGAAGGCGGUUGCCUGGGGCUUUGCUGACGCUGAGGCGCGAAAGCGUGGGGAGCGAACAGG